rnacentral:rRNA from 1 species
AGCGAACGCUGGCGGCAGGCUUAACACAUGCGAGUCGAGCGGGCACCUUCGGGUGUCCGCGGCAGACGGGUGAGUAACACGUGGGAACGUACCCUUCGGUUCGGAAUAACGCUGGGAAACUAGCGCUAAUACCGGAUACGCCCUUAUGGGGAAAGGUUUACUGCCGAAGGAUCGGCCCGCGUCUGAUUAGCUAGUUGGUGGGGUAACGGCCUACCAAGGCGACGAUCAGUAGCUGGUCUGAGAGGCAGAUCCGCCACACUGGGGCUGAGACACGGCCCAGAAUCCUACGGGAGGCAGCAGUGGGGAAUAUUGGACAAUGGGCGCAAGCCUGAUCCAGCCAUGCCGCGUGAGUGAUGAAGGCCUUAGGGUUGUAAAGCUCUUUUGUCCGGGACGAUAAUGACGGUACCGGAAGAAUAAGCCCCGGCUAACUUCGUG